rnacentral:rRNA from 1 species
CCUACGGGUGGCAGCAGUAGGGAAUCUUCCACAAUGGACGAAAGUCUGAUGGAGCAACGCCGCGUGAGUGAAGAAGGGUUUCGGCUCGUAAAGCUCUGUUGGUCGUGAAGAAAGAUAGAGGUAGUAACUGGCCUUUAUUUGACGGUAAUUACUUAGAAAGUCACGGCUAACAACGUGCCAGCAGCCGCGGUAAUACGUAGGUGGCAAGCUUUGUCCGGAUUUAUGGGGCUGAAGGCGAGUGCAGACGGUUCAAUAAGUCUGAUGUGAAAGCCUUCGGCUCAACCGGAGAAUUGCAUCAGAAACUGGUGAACUUGAGUGCAGAUGAGGAGAGUUGAACGCCAUGUGUAGCGGUGGAAUGCGUAGAUAUAUGGAAGAACACCAGUGGCGAAGGCGGCUCUCUGGUCUGCAACUGACGCUGAGGCUCGAAAGCAUGGGUAGCGAACAGGAUUAGAUACCCUGGUAGUC